GGGCUGCAGUAUUUUGACUGUACAAAGGUAGCAUAAUCAUUAGUCUCUUAAUUGGUGACUUGUAUGAAAGAUUGAAUGAGAUAUAUACUGUCUCUGAUUAAUUUAUAAAAUUUAAUUUUUUAGUAAAAAAGCUAAAAUAAUUUUAAAAGACGAGAAGACCCUAUAGAGUUUUAUAAUUUAUUUUAUUAUUGUUAUUGUAUAAAUUUUUAAAUUAAAAUAAAAUAAAUUAUUUUGUUGGGGUGACAAAAAAAUUAAAUUAACUUUUUUUAAUAUAAAACAUUAAUUUAUGAUUUUAUGAUCCAUUAAUAAUGAAUAAAAGAAAAAAUUACCUUAGGGAUAACAGCGUAAUUUUUUUUUUUAGUUCAAAUAGGAAAAAAAGUUUGCGACCUCGAUGUUGGAUUAA
rnacentral:rRNA from 1 species